GCAAGUCGAACGGCAGCACGGACUUCGGUCUGGUGGCGAGUGGCGAACGGGUGAGUAAUGUAUCGGAACGUGCCCAGUAGCGGGGGAUAACUACGCGAAAGCGUAGCUAAUACCGCAUACGCCCUACGGGGGAAAGCAGGGGAUCGCAAGACCUUGCACUAUUGGAGCGGCCGAUAUCGGAUUAGCUAGUUGGUGGGGUAACGGCUCACCAAGGCUACGAUCCGUAGCUGGUUUGAGAGGACGACCAGCCACACUGGGACUGAGACACGGCCCAGACUCCUACGGGAGGCAGCAGUGGGGAAUUUUGGACAAUGGGGGAAACCCUGAUCCAGCCAUCCCGCGUGUGCGAUGAAGGCCUUCGGGUUGUAAAGCACUUUUGGCAGGAAAGAAACGUCAUGGGCUAAUACCCCGUGAAACUGACGGUACCUGCAGAAUAAGCACCGGCUAACUACGUGCCAGCAGCCGCGGUAAUACGUAGGGUGCAAGCGUUAAUCGGAAUUACUGGGCGUAAAGCGUGCGCAGGCGGUUCGGAAAGAAAGAUGUGAAAUCCCAGAGCUUAACUUUGGAACUGCAUUUUUAACUACCGAGCUAGAGUGUGUCAGAGGGAGGUGGAAUUCCGCGUGUAGCAGUGAAAUGCGUAGAUAUGCGGAGGAACACCGAUGGCGAAGGCAGCCUCCUGGGAUAACACUGACGCUCAUGC
rnacentral:rRNA from 1 species